UACGUAGGGUGCGAGCGUUUAAUCGGAAUUACUGGGCGUAAAGCGUGCGCAGGCGGUUUUGUAAGACAGGCGUGAAAUCCCCGAGCUCAACUUGGGAAUGGCGCUUGUGACUGCAAGGCUAGAGUAUGUCAGAGGGGGGGUAGAAUUCCACGUGUAGCAGUGAAAUGCGUAGAGAUGUGGAGGAAUACCGAUGGCGAAGGCAGCCCCCUGGGACGUCACUGACGCUCAUGCACGAAAGCGUGGGGAGCAAACAGG
rnacentral:rRNA from 1 species